UGGUAGUGAGUCAUCUAGGCAUUUGUCA
rnacentral:piRNA from 1 species